rnacentral:rRNA from 1 species
UACGUAGGGUCCGAGCGUUGUCCGGAAUUAUUGGGCGUAAAGAGCUCGUAGGCGGUCUGUCGCGUCGGCUGUGAAAACUCGGGGCUCAACCCCGAGCCUGCAGUCGAUACGGGCAGACUAGAGUGCGGUAGGGGAGACUGGAAUUCCUGGUGUAGCGGUGAAAUGCGCAGAUAUCAGGAGGAACACCGAUGGCGAAGGCAGGUCUCUGGGCCACUACUGACGCUGAGAAGCGAAAGCAUGGGGAGCGAACAGG